rnacentral:tRNA from 1 species
GGGGUCUUAGCUCAGCUGGUCAGAGCGCCACGUUGACAUCGUGGAGGUCGUAGGUUCGAGCCCUAUAGACCCCACCA